UACAACCAUACCACAUUGAAACACUGAUUCUUGUAUGAUCACUGAAGUUAAGCAACAUCAAGCUUGGUGAGUACCUAGAUAGGUGACUGCUUGGGAAUAUCUGAUGCUGUAAG